rnacentral:sRNA from 1 species
UUUUACCCCCGAUAGAAGUGAAAAACCUUUUGCUUUUUUCUUUAAAAAAGCGAAAGAUUGAAGCGGAUUGCUUCGCCAGUU